rnacentral:rRNA from 1 species
UGGGGAAUUUUGGACAAUGGGCGAAANCCUGAUCCAGCAAUGCCGCGUGUGUGAAGAAGGCCUUCGGGUUGUAAAGCACUUUUGUCCGGAAAGAAAUCCUUGGCUCUAAUACAGUCGGGGGAUGACGGUACCGGAAGAAUAAGCACCGGCUAACUACGUGCCAGCAGCCGCGGUAAUACGUAGGGUGCAAGCGUUAAUCGGAAUUACUGGGCGUAAAGCGUGCGCAGGCGGUUUGCUAAGACCGAUGUGAAAUCCCCGGGCUCAACCUGGGAACUGCAUUGGGUGACUGGCAGGCUAGAGUAUGGCAGAGGGGGGUAGAAUUCCACGUGUAGCAGUGAAAUGCGUAGAGAUGUGGAGGAAUACCGAUGGCGAAGGCAGCCCCCUGGGCCAAUACUGACGCUCAUGCACGAAAGCGUGGGGAGCAAACAGGAUUAGAUACCCUGGUAGUCCACGCCCUAAACGAUGUCAACUAGUUGUUGGGGAUUCAUUUCCUUAGUAACGUAGCUAACGCGUGAAGUUGACCGCCUGGGG